rnacentral:rRNA from 1 species
AUUGACCUCGGAUCAGGUAGGGAUACCCGCUGAACUUAAGCAUAUCAAUAAGCGGAGGAAAAGAAACCAACAGGGAUUGCCUCAGUAACGGCGAGUGAAGCGGCAACAGCUCAAAUUUGAAAUCUGGCUCUUUUAGGGUCCGAGUUGUAAUUUGUAGAGGGUGCUUUGGCGUUGGUUGUGGUCUAAGUUCCUUGGAACAGGACGUCACAGAGGGUGAGAAUCCCGUACGUGGCCGCCAGCCUCCGCCGUGUAAAGCCCCUUCGAUGAGUCGAGUUGUUUGGGAAUGCAGCUCUAAAUGGGAGGUAAAUUUCUUCUAAAGCUAAAUAUUUGCCAGAGACCGAUAGCGCACAAGUAGAGUGAUCGAAAGAUGAAAAGCACUUUGGAAAGAGAGUCAAAAAGCACGUGAAAUUGUUGAAAGGGAAGCGCUUGCAGCUAGACGUGCCUUUGGUUGAUCAGCCGGACUUUUGCCCGGUGCACUCUUCCUUUGGCAGGCCAGCAUCAGUUUGGGCGGCUGGAUAAAGGUCUGUUAAACGUGACUUCCUUCGGGGAGAGCUUAUAGGGCAGACGACAUGCAGCCAGCCUGAACUGAGGUCCGCGCAUCUGCUAGGAUGCUGGCGUAAUAGCUGUAAGCGGCCCGUCUUGAAACACGGACCAAGGAGUCUAACAUCUAUGCGAGUGUUUGGGUGUCAAGCCCGAGCGCGCAAUGAAAGUAAACGGAGGUGGGAACCCUUUGGGUGCACCAUCGACCGAUCCUGAUGUCUUCGGAUGGAUUUGAGUAAGAGCAUAGCUGUUGGGACCCGAAAGAUGGUGAACUAUGCCUGAAUAGGGUGAAGCCAGAGGAAACUCUGGUGGAGGCUCGCAGCGGUUCUGACGUGCAAAUCGAUCGUCAAAUUUGGGCAUAGGGGCGAAAGACUAAUCGAACUAUCUAGUAGCUG